UAGCAUUCAGUGCAGGAGAUCAAAGAGAAAUGAGGGACUUUUCAAUAAGACAGUUCGGGAUACUUGGGAGAUUAUGGGAUCAUUACGGCUGUAUGGCUCGGGAUUGACUUCAUGUACGGAACAGCACCUUUCCUUUAGUGUGCCAAUAACAAUUUUUUUAAUUACUUGUAAUUACUUUAUUACUGAACACAAUGAUCCAAGAUUAGACAUAGUUACAUACUGUGACUGGUUGGGGUGAAAAAUAAGUCACUUCAGUUCAACCAGAUACUCUGUUUUUGUUCAACCUAGUGGAGAACAAACAAAAACUAAAGCAUUACCAAUUCUGCAUGUAGCGACAGGUAAAGUGGUUCCAGCAUAUAAACUAUCAGGUAAUUUUGCUGGAACAACAUCUAUCUGUUUUAAUAAUUAAUUGUCUCAGAAAACCAUUUGCAGAAACUUUAAAAACAGAAAUACUUUAUAGCGAGUCAGUAGCCACUAGCUAAACUACAUGGAAGAUUUUGUUGAAUGGUGUAGGAUCGACAGAUCGCAUCCUACAAGUUAAAUGUAGUUGUACAGGCCAGAAUAUAAUGGAUCUGAUACAAAUCUGUUGUGUAAACUACAUGGAAGAUUUGCCACCUAACACAACACGCCUACCUGAAUUGAAAUCUACCCUUGCAUUCAACCCAAUAAAAUUUGAUGGUAUCUGAA